UGUAAGAAAUCCCUUUUUUUCUCGUGUGUUAAUUGGAUCAAAGAAGAGGAAUAGUAAGAGGAUAAACAUGCAGCUUUCACAUCGAUGGAACAGUAUCUUUCGCAGCCAAAUUCCAUUGAAUUCACAUGAUAUACCAGACCUGUUUUUAAUCCUGUUCAUGUUCCUGCAACCUUCGUUGUUAUAAUUUUCUAUCUUACGGUUGGCUCCUUCACUAACCACAAUAAUUAAAUUUGACAUUUCAGGUCAAACACAUCCUCUAGAAAAACCAACCCUUUUGCUGCUUGCUGCAAUAUAUAUAUAUAUAUGCAUGGCUGUUUUGGACAUGUUAUAUCAAACACAAUAAACCUAGCUGUCUGAUUCUUCUGGGCUUGUCCUGUGCUUCUUUUCAAUCAUUAUUUCAGACUCAUCAUCAUCAUACCAAUUUAUUUUAAUUAUCUUAUUAUCUAUUUGGAGAUUUGUUUGUUAAGAAAGGACAGAGAUGAGUAAUGAAAGAGGAAGGAGUGCUAAGCUGGAAUUUGAGCUGAGCUUGUCCCCACCAACAACUGCAAACUCAUCAUUAGCGAACCCGUCAUCAUCGUCACCAUUGUGUUUGUAUUCAUCGGAUCCUGAGUCAUGCGUGUCUUCAGAGACUAAUGAAGAGAUAAGAUCGAUGCUCCUUGUAGGUUGUCUUCGAUGCCUCAUGUAUGUUUUGUUCUCAAAGGAUGACCCCAACCCCAAAUGCCCCAGGUGCAAGAGUACUGUGUUGCUUCAUUUUCUUAAUAACAACCAAAACACCAACCAAACAACCACCAAGUUCUAGCUAGUGAGGGUGGUUAAAUACAUACAACAUACAUAUAAGAUUUGUUUUGUUCUGUUAUAGAAGAAAAUUACAUGUAAAAAUAAAAUUCCUUACGCAUGUUUAGGAUUUCAAUAAUACUGCUUGUUUACAUGGUUCCAUGUAAUUUUCUUUGUAGGGUAGCGUAUUAAAUAAGUUUCAGAGUUUUGUAUAGAUGUCUAAAUGAAAUUUAAGGGACAUUAUAGUUACUAUCA